UUUUGUAUUAAUAUCAUUUAAAUAUAAAAAGUACAAUUUUUAUAGAAUAACUAGAAGAUUUUGGAAUAAUUCAUCAUGAGAUUAUAUCUGCAUUUUGUAAUUACCCUGAAGUUUAAUGUUCCGAUCAAACGCUUCUGGAUCGGACGCUACAAAAUAUAUCGAUUGUACUUAUCGAGUUUCACAACAUUCAACUUACAAAUUUUAGUUUAUUGGCUUCUUGUCUACGUUUAUAGAGAGUGACUUAAUUAUAGUAAAAAUAUUCCAUAAUUUCGACCGUAUAUCGCAGUAUUAUUAACUUUUUGAGGAAUCUCACGAAAAGGUUCCAAAAUGUAUACACGCGAUCUUCGAUUAAUGAUAACCAGACACACGAAAUGCAGAAAGUUCUUAUAAUAGCGAGGAGUCCAGCCUUUAGUAUUGACGAUGAUUUAAAAAUGGGUUCAACGACUAUUGUGAUUCUUCGCGAAUGUGCGAUAAUGAGAUAUCCGCUUGCCGUUCCAAGUACUUCAGCUAAAUGUAUAAGUUAGAUAUAAAGUAUCUGAGGUACCUUGACUGAAUAAAGUCCGCUCGAUUUAUUUUAUUUUUUAAAAACUCUAUGAGAAUAUUAAAAUACUGCUUCAAGAUCCUCAGAGGUAGAGUUUGAAAAAUAAAAUAAAUUUAUUCAUUUCAGCUAUCUCGUCAUUAAUAUUUUAGAUAUAAAAUAUCUAACUAAAAUUGAAUUUUAAUUUCUUAAUUAUAUAUAAUUUCAAUAAUACGAUAAAAUACGAUGACAUUUAUUAAACAUUUCUGAUUGAUUGAUAAUAGAUCGAAACGAUUGUAAGCUUCGAAAUAAAAUGCGAUGAAGCAAAAAAUUCGGUCAGUUGAAAGAAGUUUCGUCGAAAAAAUUUAAAGAGGAUUAUAAAUAGAAUUUUCGAGAAACACCUUAAAAUUCUUGUGAAAUGGAAAAGAAAGAUAAAAUCGAUAUCUGUUAACGGAUCUUGCACCUUGUCUUUCGAACCAUGCGAAGUAUACUUUAAAAUGGAUGAAAAUAUGUCAGUAGUUGACAAGAAAGUGCUACGAUUAGAAUCAUGCAAGUCUACAGAAAGAAUUAAUUCAUCAUCCUCUAAACGCAAAUGCUCAAGAUUAUGCACGGAAUCUAGAAAAAUCAGUUUAAAUGGGUACAUUGGACGUUUGUUUAAUAAUCUACUUUGCUAAGAAUUUUAAUCUUUGUUUAACCGUUUAACUGUCUUUGUUAAAUGUUAUCAUUAAAAAGUUUAUUAUUUUCAAAUAAAAAGAAUGAA